rnacentral:rRNA from 1 species
AUUGAACGCUGGCGGCAGGCCUAACACAUGCAAGUCGAACGGUAACAGGAAGAAGCUUGCUUCUUUGCUGACGAGUGGCGGACGGGUGAGUAAUGUCUGGGAAACUGCCUGAUGGAGGGGGAUAACUACUGGAAACGGUAGCUAAUACCGCAUAACGUCGCAAGACCAAAGAGGGGGACCUUCGGGCCUCUUGCCAUCGGGUGUGCCCAGAUGGGAUUAGCUAGUAGGUGGGGUAACGGCUCACCUAGGCGACGAUCCCUAGCUGGUCUGAGAGGAUGACCAGCCACACUGGAACUGAGACACGGUCCAGACUCCUACGGGAGGCAGCAGUGGGGAAUAUUGCACAAUGGGCGCAAGCCUGAUGCAGCCAUGCCGCGUGUAUGAAGAAGGCCUUCGGGUUGUAAAGUACUUUCAGCGGGGAGGAAGGGAGUAAGGUUAAUACCUUUGCUCAUUGACGUUACCCGCAGAAGAAGCACCGGCUAACUCCGUG